AAACAAAUGAAGUUUUCUUUAUUGGGGUUGCGGACAUAUCAUAACGAAGAGGUAUCGUAAUUGAAGAGGUUUGGAAAGACCCACCACAGAAGGUAAUAGUCCUGUAUGUUAAACGAGAAAACUUUAGAUAUGAUCCAGAGUACCACGGGACACGUGAAACCCUGUGGGAAGCAGGAGGGACCACCCUCCAAGGCUAAAUACUACCUAGUGACCGAUAGCGUAUAGUACCGUGAGGGAAAGGUGAAAAGAACCCCGGGAGGGGAG
rnacentral:rRNA from 1 species